UUACAUGAUGGCUGCCUAAUUAUCCAUACGUUAAUAUAGUGUGGUAUGGUGCAAAAAUAAAAUAAAAAAUAAAAAAGUGGUAUUAUCUUGUUUGAUUUCUUCAGCUUUCAAGACACCUAUGAGAUCUGCCUGUGUUAAACUAUUGACACAUCCUGUUGUAUACAGUCAGGACAUCGGUGCACAGCUAUCAGAGGCUGUAAAGAUCCCUUUGAGACAUGUGGGUGGUAAAAUAUUGACACAUCCUGUAGCAUACCGUCAGGACAUUGGUGCACAGCUAUCAGAUAUGUGUUUUCUCAGAGGAUUUUCAGUGCAGACCAGUCCUAGCAUCAGCCAUCCCCUCAUCAGAUGAUGAACCCCUGAGCUGUGCUCAGUUGUAUACACCCUCAUCACCACAGCCAAAGAAGAAGAAGAAGCAGAAGAAGCUGAUACA